GAUGAACGCUGGCGGCGUGCCUAAUACAUGCAAGUCGAGCGAACAGACGAGGAGCUUGCUCCUCUGACGUUAGCGGCGGACGGGUGAGUAACACGUGGAUAACCUACCUAUAAGACUGGGAUAACUUCGGGAAACCGGAGCUAAUACCGGAUAAUAUAUUGAACCGCAUGGUUCAAUAGUGAAAGACGGUUUUGCUGUCACUUAUAGAUGGAUCCGCGCCGCAUUAGCUAGUUGGUAAGGUAACGGCUUACCAAGGCAACGAUGCGUAGCCGACCUGAGAGGGUGAUCUGCCACACUGGAACUGAGACACGGUCCAGACUCCUACGGGAGGCAGCAGUAGGGAAUCUUCCGCAAUGGGCGAAAGCUUGACGGAGCAACGCCGCGUGAGUGAUGAAGGUCUUCGGAUCUUAAAACUCUGUUAUUAGGGAAGAACAAAUGUGUAAGUAACUAUGCACGUCUUGACGGUACCUAAUCAGAAAGCCACGGCUAACUACGUG
rnacentral:rRNA from 1 species